UACGUAGGGUGCAAGCGUUGUCCGGAAUUAUUGGGCGUAAAGAGCUCGUAGGCGGUUUGUCGCGUCUGCUGUGAAAACCCGAGGCUCAACCUCGGGCCUGCAGUGGGUACGGGCAGACUAGAGUGCGGUAGGGGAGAUUGGAAUUCCUGGUGUAGCGGUGAAAUGCGCAGAUAUCAGGAGGAACACCGAUGGCGAAGGCAGGUCGUCUGGGCAUUAACUGACGCUGAGGAGCGAAAGCGUGGGGAGCGAACAGG
rnacentral:rRNA from 1 species